AUGGCGUGGUGGACAUUGUGCAUACCUAAAUUAAGUGGAGGUAUGGGCUUUCGUGACUUACAUUGUUUUAACGUAGCCAUGCUUGCAAAGCAAUGCUGGAGGUUGUUAGAGAGUCCGGAUUCCUUAUGUUCUUCUAUCCCAAGGACGGAAUAUUUUCCUGAUGGGAUUCUUUUGAAAGCUAAACUGAAAAGUGGAUCAUCAUUCACAUGAAAAAAAUAUUAUGUCGGGUCUUGA
rnacentral:rRNA from 1 species